rnacentral:rRNA from 1 species
CCUACGGGAGGCAGCAGUGGGGAAUAUUGCACAAUGGGGGAAACCCUGAUGCAGCGACGCCGCGUGAGUGAAGAAGUAAUUCGUUAUGUAAAGCUCUAUCAGCAGGGAAGAAAAUGACGGUACCUGAGUCAGAAGCCCCGGCUAACUACGUGCCAGCAGCCGCGGUAAUACGUAGGGGGCAAGCGUUAUCCGGAUUUACUGGGUGUAAAGGGAGCGUAGACGGCAGUGCAAGUCUGGAGUGAAAGGCGGGGGCUCAACCCCCGGACUGCUCUGGAAACUGUACGGCUGGAGUGCAGGAGAGGUAAGUGGAAUUCCUAGUGUAGCGGUGAAAUGCGUAGAUAUUAGGAGGAACACCAGUGGCGAAGGCGGCUUACUGGACUGUAACUGACGUUGAGGCUCGAAAGCGUGGGGAGCAAACAGGAUUAGAUACCCUAGUAGUC